rnacentral:rRNA from 1 species
CCAGACUCCUACGGGAGGCAGCAGUGGGGAAUAUUGCACAAUGGGGGAAACCCUGAUGCAGCAACGCCGCGUGAGUGAAGAAGUAUUUCGGUAUGUAAAGCUCUAUCAGCAGGGAAGAAAAUGACAGUACCUGACUAAGAAGCCCCGGCUAACUACGUGCCAGCAGCCGCGGUAAUACGUAGGGGGCAAGCGUUAUCCGGAUUUACUGGGUGUAAAGGGAGCGUAGACGGCUGCGCAAGUCAGAAGUGAAAGCCCGGGGCUCAACCGCGGGACUGCUUUUGAAACUGUGUAGCUAGAGUGCAGGAGAGGUAAGUGGAAUUCCUAGUGUAGCGGUGAAAUGCGUAGAUAUUAGGAGGAACACCGGUGGCGAAGGCGGCCUGCUGGACUGCGACUGACGUUGAGGCCCGAAAGCGUGGGGAGCAAACAGGAUUAGAUACCCCGGUACCA